UUCUGCCAGUUUUUCUUCUCCUCUUUCUACAUUUUUUUUCCCGUGUGUUUGUUGGGUUUUCAGCUUUAGUUCAAUAUGCUCUUUUAGUUGCUUCUAUUUAUUUCGUAAUUGUACUGCAUUUUAGUUAGUGUGGAGCUGGUUCCCAUAACUUGAUUGGUGAAUGUCUGUUAGUUGUUUGACUUAAUGAUUCAUGAAUAUGUAGUUUUUUUCUAGCAGUGACAUAACUCACAUGAGUGUAUACGUUUUAGGGCUAUUUGAUCACUUUAUUUAUUUUCUUUAUAAGUUCUAAGAUUUUCUUCUACUCUAUGCACCGAAUAUCACUAAAAAUUUCAUAGGGCAGAUAAAGCUAGAAAUGCGGGCUUGAAGGUGCAAAAUAGUUAUUUGAAAACUAUUUCAAGCAAAUGCACAUUUUCCACACGCCAUGGCAAUGCUUCAAUUUAACAGCUAAUUGAGGUAAAAUAUGUUUCUGGUCUCAUCUAAACUUUUAUUAGAAUUUACAACUUUUUCCAAUAAUUUAUUUUCACAUUUGAUAUAGUUAUAUUUGAUGUAAAAUAUUCACAUAGUUUAUCAUUUUGCGAUCAAACUUUUUAAUUUUGAUGUUAAUGAUGCUUCAUGGUUGUGCUCAAAGAAGACUUAUUGAAGAGAGGUUGGGCUAUAUCUCUAAACUUUCCACAUUUCAGCAAAUGCCACCUACAACAAAGGCCAAGUAUUCAACCUCGGAUGACGCCUGAAUGUUCUUUUAGAGGUCAUUCUGUCUAAACAUUUAACAUGGUCGAUGACCUUUUGAUUAGAUUAUUUCUCUUCGCAGUUAAUUCUCUCUUUCAAUUUCAUUGUCUGCAGUAGGUCUUUGAUUGGGAUAACCGAGAGAAGAUAUUUAUUGAAAUUGAGGGGAUACUAGAAGACAGAUUAAGGUUUUUUGCCAAACGCUGCUAAGAGGAACGCAGCAAAGGAGGCAAAAUACAAAAAACACAAUACCAGUUCCAAUAAGUAACUAGCAUAGCCUGUACAUAGUUUUCGAAAUUAUGUGAUUUAAAUAAUGCAUAUAUCUUAUACUUACCAUGCUGGCACGGGACUGCAUCAAGCUAUUAAUAUGUAGGAAGUUUGAUUCGUA